rnacentral:rRNA from 1 species
GAUGAACGCUAGCGGCAGGCUUAACACAUGCAAGUCGAGGGGUAACAGGAUUUAGUUUACUAGAUUGCUGACGACCGGCGCACGGGUGAGUAACGCGUAUACAAUUUGCCUUUUACUGAAGAAUAGCCCAGAGAAAUUUGGAUUAAUGCUUCAUGGUAUUAUUUGGUCACCUGACCGAGUAAUUAAAGUUCCGGCGGUAAAAGAUGAGUAUGCGUCCUAUUAGCUAGAUGGUAAGGUAACGGCUUACCAUGGCGACGAUAGGUAGGGGUCCUGAGAGGGAGAUCCCCCACACUGGUACUGAGACACGGACCAGACUCCUACGGGAGGCAGCAGUGAGGAAUAUUGGGCAAUGGAGGCAACUCUGACCCAGCCAUGCCGCGUGCAGGAAGACUGCCCUAUGGGUUGUAAACUGCUUUUAUACAGGAAGAAACUUACCCACGUGUGGGUAACUGACGGUACUGUAAGAAUAAGGACCGGCUAACUCCGUGCCAGCAGCCGCGGUAAUACGGAGGGUCCAAGCGUUAUCCGGAAUCAUUGGGUUUAAAGGGUCCGUAGGCGGGCAAUUAAGUCAGAGGUGAAAUCCCACAGCUCAACUGUGGAACUGCCUUUGAUACUGGUUGUCUUGAGUUAUAGUGAAGUAGAUAGAAUAUGUAGUGUAGCGGUGAAAUGCAUAGAUAUUACAUAGAAUACCGAUUGCGAAGGCAGUCUACUAACUGUACACUGACGCUAAUGGACGAAAGCGUGGGGAGCGAACAGG